rnacentral:rRNA from 1 species
AGCGAACGCUGGCGGCAGGCCUAACACAUGCAAGUCGAACGGAUCCUUCGGGAUUAGUGGCGGACGGGUGAGUAACACGUGGGAACGUGCCCUUUGGUUCGGAACAACUCAGGGAAACUUGAGCUAAUACCGGAUGUGCCCUUCGGGGGAAAGAUUUAUCGCCAUUGGAGCGGCCCGCGUCUGAUUAGCUAGUUGGUGAGGUAACGGCCCACCAAGGCGACAAUCAGUAGCUGGUCUGAGAGGAUGAUCAGCCACACUGGGACUGAGACACGGCCCAGACUCCUACGGGAGGCAGCAGUGGGGAAUCUUGCGCAAUGGGCGAAAGCCUGACGCAGCCAUGCCGCGUGAAUGAUGAAGGUCUUAGGAUUGUAAAAUUCUUUCAGCGGGGACGAUAAUGACGGUACCCGCAGAAGAAGCUCCGGCUAACUUCGUG